rnacentral:rRNA from 1 species
UGGGGGAUAUUGCACAAUGGGCGAAAGCCUGAUGCAGCGACGCCGCGUGGGGGAUGAAGGCUUUCGGGUUGUAAACCUCUUUCGCUAUCGAACAAGGCCCGCUUAGGGUGGGUUGAGGGUAGGUGGAGAAGAAGCGCCGGCUAACUACGUGCCAGCAGCCGCGGUAAUACGUAGGGCGCGAGCGUUGUCCGGAAUUAUUGGGCGUAAAGGGUUUGUAGGCGGCUUGUUGCGCCUGCUGUGAAAACGCGGGGCUUAACUUCGCGCGUGCAGUGGGUACGGGCAGGCUUGAGUGUGGUAGGGGUGACUGGAAUUCCAGGUGUAGCGGUGGAAUGCGCAGAUAUCUGGAGGAGCACCGAUGGCGAAGGCAGGUCACUGGGCCAUUACUGACGCUGAGGAGCGAAAGCAUGGGUAGCGAACAGG